rnacentral:rRNA from 1 species
UACAGGGGGGGCAAGCGUUGUUCGGAAUUACUGGGCGUAAAGGGUUCGUAGGUGGCCACCUAAGUCAGACGUGAAAUCCCUCAGCUUAACUGGGGAACUGCGUCUGAUACUGGGUGGCUUGAGUGCAGGAGAGGAAUGCGGAAUUCCAGGUGUAGCGGUGAAAUGCGUAGAUAUCUGGAGGAACACCGGUGGCGAAGGCGGCAUUCUGGACUGUAACUGACACUAAGGAACGAAAGCCAGGGGAGCAAACGGG